AUGACUACACUGGAAAGGUAGGUCUUGUACUGAUCACCAUAAAAGAUAUAGCACAGAUAGCGGCAGUGUAAGUUUCUCCACAGUGUUUCAUUUAUAUGCCUCCAUCCUGACCUAGAGAGAUGAAUUCUAGAGUUGAGAGGGUAGUUCAGUUUCUAUGUCCAUUCAAUCAAAGGAUUAU
rnacentral:sRNA from 1 species